rnacentral:rRNA from 1 species
UACGAAGGGGGCUAGCGUUGUUCGGAUUUACUGGGCGUAAAGCGCACGUAGGCGGAUCGUUAAGUCGGGGGUGAAAUCCUGGAGCUCAACUCCAGAACUGCCUUCGAUACUGGCGAUCUUGAGUCCGGAAGAGGUGAGUGGAACUCCUAGUGUAGGGGUGGAAUUCGUAGAUAUUAGGAAGAACACCGGUGGCGAAGGCGGCCUGCUGGGCUAUGGCUGACACUGAGGCGCGACAGCGUGGGGAGCGAACAGG